GAGUUUGAUUCCUGGCUCAGGAUGAACGCUAGCUACAGGCUUAACACAUGCAAGUCGAGGGGCAGCAUGAACUUAUCUUGCUAAGUUUGAUGGCGACCGGCGCACGGGUGAGUAACACGUAUCCAACCUGCCGAUGACUCGGGGAUAGCCUUUCGAAAGAAAAGAUUAAUACCCGAUGGCAUAGUUCUUCCGCAUGGUAGAACUAUUAAAGAAUUUCGGUCAUCGAUGGGGAUGCGUUCCAUUAGGUUG
rnacentral:rRNA from 1 species